rnacentral:lncRNA from 1 species
AGGCAUCAGGAUGGUCAAUUGGAGGAUACAUGAUGGUGUAGUGAGGAGAUUAAAGGAGAUCCGAUAUAUGUCUGAUUUCAAAUAAAAUCUUAUCUUACUGAACAGACUAGAUUCGAGAAGCUACAUGAUGGUAGCUGGUGGAGAAAUUCUGAAGGUGUUGCACGACGAUAGGAUUAUUCUGGAGAAAAAGAAGAUGACGAGAGGAUAUUACUAUCUGGUGGGGAGUCCAGUGCGAGGUGG